AACGAACGCUGGCGGCAUGCCUAACACAUGCAAGUCGAACGAGUCCUUCGGGCUUAGUGGCGCACGGGUGCGUAACGCGGGGGAACCUGCCCUUAGGUUCGGAAUAACUCCCCGAAAGGGGUGCUAAUACCGGCUAAUGUCUUCGGACCAAAGAUUUAUCGCCUUUGGAUGGGCCCGCGUUGGCUUAGCUAGUUGGUAGGGUAAAAGCCUACCAAGGCGACGUUCCAUAGCUGGGUUGUGAGGAUGAUCAGCCACACUGGGACGGAGACACGGCCGAGACUCCUACGGGAGGCAGCAGUGGGGAAUAUUGGACAAUGGGCGAAAGCCUGAUCCAGCAAUGCCGGGUGAGUGAUGAAGGCCUUAGGGUUGUAAAGUUCUUUUACCCGGGAUGAUAAUGACAGUACCGGGAGAAUAAGCACCGGCUAACUCCGUG
rnacentral:rRNA from 1 species